rnacentral:rRNA from 1 species
AACCUUUGACAUGGUGGUCGCGGAUCACAGAGAUGAUAUCCUUCAGUUCGGCUGGACUACACAC